rnacentral:rRNA from 1 species
UUCUUGGUCAUUUAAGAGAAGUAAAAGUCGUAACAAGGUUUCCGUAGGUGAACCUGCGGAAGGAUCAUUACCAAUUGCGGGCGAGGCCUGGCCUCCCCGCGAACCUUCUCAUCCCUUUAUGGUGUACCUUUGUUUCCUCGGCAGGCUUGCCUGCCAGCGAGGAGUAUAAAACAACCUUUUUGCAGUAAGAAGUAUACGUCUUAUCAAAAACAAAUCGUUUACAACUUUCAACAAUGGAUCUCUUGGUUCUGGCAUCGAUGAAGAACGCAGCGAAAUGCGAUAAGUAGUGUGAAUUGCAGAAUUUAGCGAAUCAUCGAAUCUUUGAACGCACAUUGCGCCCCUUGGUAUUCCAUGGGGCAUGCCUGUUCGAGCGUCAUUUCAACCCUCAAGCACUGCUUGGUGUUGGGCGUUUGUCCCGCCUACGCGCGUGGACUCGCCUCAAAGUCAUUGGCGGCUGUUCCCCUUCGGCUCGUAAGCGCAGCACAGUCGGCGCCCGGAGCUCUGGUGGGAUGGCGUCCAGCAAGCUAUAUUUUCAGGCUUGACCUCGGAUCAGGUAGGGAUACCCGCUGAACUUAAGCAUAUAAUUNANGCGGAAGGAAA